rnacentral:rRNA from 1 species
UUCCUACGGGAGGCUGCAGUGGGGAAUAUUGGACAAUGGGCGCAAGCCUGAUCCAGCCAUGCCGCGUGAGUGAUGAAGGCCUUAGGGUUGUAAAGCUCUUUCGCCGACGAAGAUAAUGACGGUAGUCGGAGAAGAAGCCCCGGCUAACUUCGUGCCAGCAGCCGCGGUAAUACGAAGGGGGCUAGCGUUGUUCGGAAUCACUGGGCGUAAAGCGCACGUAGGCGGAUUGUUAAGUCAGAGGUGAAAGCCUGGAGCUCAACUCCAGAACUGCCUUUGAUACUGGCAAUCUCGAGUCCGGAAGAGGUAAGUGGAACUGCGAGUGUAGAGGUGAAAUUCGUAGAUAUUCGCAAGAACACCAGUGGCGAAGGCGGCUUACUGGUCCGGUACUGACGCUGAGGUGCGAAAGCGUGGGGAGCAAACAGGAUUAGAUACCCGUGUAGUC